CCUAGCUGCCUGGAAGUCAGUCUUUCACUAGCAGCCUUCGGACGAAGAUGUAGAACUCUCAGCUCCUCCUGCACCAUGCCUGCCUGGACGCUGCCAUGUUCCUGUCUUGAGGAUACUAGACUGAACCUCUGAACCUGUUUGUCUUGCCCCACAAAAGCCAACAUUUUCAUUGGUUGUCCAAAAUAGUCACCUUAAUUUGCUGGAAGACAGGCCGGUUCGUGAACCUUCAAGUAGGGAAAGAGAUUUGGUCAAGAAACUCCCUGCCUCAGUUCAGCAGCCUGGCCAUCUGGUCUCAGGUUUGGAAAAGGAACCGGGCACCAUUUCUUGGUUCGCGAGCCUUGCUAUGGUUUGAGCUUGCCCUCAGAGGGUUGACGGUGUGGGCGGAUGGCAUUGUUCCACUUAAAGUAGGGCAGCAGUUGGCGAGUGGUUAAUUUAAGAGUCACUGGUCUGACAGAACAACCCAUGCAUCCUCUCCCAUCUGCGUGGGGGAGAGGAGCCAGUGCUGUAUUUACUGUUUGGAUGGGGUCCAUGGAUCCGACCUCAGCAACCGUAUCUGGAGAGGGAGACACAGAGUUCAGGCAGCUUAACCAGGGUUAAAGUAGGGGCAACCUACUUUAGUGAAGUUAGCUUAGGCUGCGCACUUGUCAGCAAGCAUGGGGUUGAUCUUCUCCAAAGUUAGAACUUGGGAUGCAAGGAGAAGUGAUCCAAUGGUGUCUGGCUGAGGGAAGAGCGGGCUCGGCUACACCGCUGUUGGUGCGAGUGGGAACCUGAGGCCCAGGGGAGCUCACCGCGAUUCCAGGUUCCGUGUCUGUGACUGAGGCCAGGUACAACUGAGAGCCUCCCCACUCCACCCCCUGGAACCACGUCUUCAUGACAGGACAUCAAGUUCUAGAAAAAGUCGAGGAGACUCUGCUGGGAGAAGCCCCCACUCCACAUCAUUUUUGACUAAGCUGCAGUCGUGUGGAUGGAAUGUCCGACACGGCUUUUCCUCAGUGCACCAUUGCCACGCGUGGUACGGGCCACCAGCUGGAGCCCUGACUAGGUGUGAUGACUGGGGACCGAGCUUUCCUCACGGGCCUCUGGCGUACAGGUUGGUUUUCCUCACAGAAUGGCAUGCUCUCCGUUCUAAGAGGAGGUGUUCAGAAAGAAGAAUGUGCAAGUGGCCAGUCCUCCAAAGGCUAAACUCCCCUUUACCACAUUUUGUUGGGGCACGGGUGGGGCCAGCUCAUUAGAAAAGAGGAGAAAUGAACUCUCCUCAGCCUGAGAAUGACACGAGUGAGCUCAGGCUUUGCCAAGGCCACCGCGAUUUCCUCUCAUAUAGGAAGUGCAUGUAGUGGGUUUGGCCUAAUGCUGCUCGCACCACUGCCAGUAAGACACCGAGGGACCCUGCCCCUAGUUGGUUCUGAUUGGUAAAUAAAGAUGCCAGUAGCCAAUGACUGGGCAGGGCAGGCAGAGGCAGAACUUUUAGGAUUUCCAGAGAAGCGAAGAUCCACCAUGCCUGGAAAAGUGGAGGAGAGGAGGCGUCAUGGCUGAGAAGAGUGCAGGACAGAGAGAUGUAGCCGCUAUGUAGGAGCACGGAGAGUGUAGCCGGAAUGCUGGGUCCAGGGCAGUCAAGGGAAGGUAGUAAGUGAUGACCCGGGAUUAUCAGCGGGAGGUGGGUUAAGCGCACAGAGGUUAGGAAGUGGUCCAGCUAUUGCGCUGCUUAAGGCAUAUCAAAUAUAAGGCUGUGUGUGUGUUUUUAUUUAUCAACGUAAAGCAUCGAGGUGGGUAGCUCAAUAUUUUAUAAAAUAUUGCUACGAGUGUAUCCGUCCUUUUUUAUUAUUUUUUUUUAAACUAAGCAUUAUGGUUUUGAUUACAAGUGAAUAGGCCCAGCCAUGGGUAAGAUCCUUGGGUACAGAUUUCCGGUAUGGUUCUUUGGGCUGUAAAGGUAAGGCAUGUGCUGUGUCAGUUGGUUGCUUCAUUCUUGUAACAAAACCCCUAACAAGAGCAACUGAAGGAAGUGUUUUAGCUCACAGUUCCCGGUGUUGCCCAUCAUGGCGGGGAAGCAAUGGAGAUAGGACGUCACAUCCACACUCAGAAUGCACAAAGAAAUGCAAGCCUUUGCUCAUCUCACUUUCUCCUUUUUAUUCAGUCUGGGUCCCGAGCCAUGAAAUGGUACCAUCCGCGUUUAGGGCGGGUCUUCCUAGCGCCAUUAGCCUAAUAGAGAGAAUGCCUCACAGACGUGCACAGAGAUCCGUUUCCAUGGUGACCCUAAAUCCCCACCCCCCAUAUUUGACUCUCAAGAGGAACCAUACCAUCUGCCCCACACACACGGUUUCUUGCAUACAGUGGGAACGAGAUGUGAGAUGACCCAAGUGUCCUAAGGGAUCCCACACAAAUGAUUUUCCCUCGUUACUCUGGAAGAGAGCCAGAUGUAUGUUCCAGUUUCAUUUAUUAAGUUCUAUCAGGCAUUAGUGAUGCCCUGCGAGUGGGUCUCUCUCUGCUGGACUUUUGAGUUGUCCUUCAUUUUAUACAAAAAUCAUCGGUGCUCGGAGCGGUGAGGUCAUCCCCGCCCCAGUUUCUCCAGAUGAGCCAGAGAGCUAGAGGGACCCUUCCCUUUCAGAUUGUUUUCUCUCACCCUGCUGUGUGAGCUUAGCCCAAACCUUGUAUAUGACCGCACAGGCUCCUCAAAGCUGUAUGGAACAGUCCUCCGCACAGGGCAGACGCUCCUGUGAGGCAGGCACCUCUGUCCUUUGGGCUGAGAGUCAGCCUUAUCGCCCAUCUCCCUUGAGAUGCUAGGGCUGGUCCGAGGCACUGUCCUAAGUCAUUCUAGCUCUUCCAUUCAGCUGCUAUUUGACCUCUGCUCUGAGACCGAAUUUGAGGUCCAGGAACCUGAAUGUGGUGUUUGAGGAUUGUUCUUCCUUUGAAAGCUUUCACUGGGCUCUCCAUGGUUUAAACAGACUCCUGAGGUCAUUGUUCAUGCCUCCUGCACUGUCCCUCUUGUUUCUCCUUCCCUCCCACAGAGCAAGGCAGCAGUAAAAUUCCACAGCGGGUUUUCUUGUGACCUCUGAAGUGGAGUCUCUAGGUCACAGAAACUCAGAAACCCUUAUGCACAAUUCAUAUAGCUUCUUGGCCUGACCCGCUUUUCCUUUAGUUGCCAUGGCAACCAGGUAGUACAGCCAGCUCCCAGGGCUUCCCCAGGCUCCUCUGGUUUGUAAAACUCACAACUUGGCCAGGGAGAGGAGGAGGGCACAGCAGGCGGCGCUCAGUGUCUUGGGGAGCACAGUUGUGACAGUCAAGGAGUGGGCCCUCUCUGGGCCAAACGCUGGACCCUGCAACCCUGCAGGGAGGUAGAUGCGCCUUCCCCAUCCUGCUGCUGCUCUGUUUGCCAACUCCCUGGGCAUCUCAGCAGCUUGCUCAGCCCUCCCCCUGCUGGAUGUUCCUCAUCCUGCCUAGCUGGUAAGCAGAGGCUGCAAGGCUCAUCCCCCUGCAACAAUGAGGAGCUCUGAAGAUUCACAAUUAUGCAGGCAGAAGGAGUGUGGGUAGGCCCUGUGUAAUUUACUCAACAAAGUGGCAGGGACAAAGUUAACCAAUGCAAACCACGAGCCUUCCUAUCAUACACCAACAACAAGUGUAUUGGGGGAAAAAAGCAAGGGAAAGAUUCCUUUUAAAAAGAUUCCUUUUUAAAAGAAAAACAUUUAUUUAUUUAUUUAUUUAUUUAUUUAUUUAUUUAUUUAUUAUAUUUGAGUACACUGUAGCUGUCUUCAGACACACCAGAAGAGGGCAUCAGAUCCCAUUACAGAUGGUUGUGAGCCACCAUGUGGUUUCUGGGAUUUGAACUCAGGACCUCUGGAAGAGCAGUCAGUGCCCUUAACCACUGAGUCAUCUCUCCAGCCCCCAGUGACCCCUUUCUUAACAGCCACAGAUAGCACACCAACCGGGAAUAAGAUUUAAGUGUCUUAGUUAGGGUUUUACUGCUGUGAACAGACACCAUGACCAAGGCAACUCUCGUAAGGACAACAUUGAAUUGGGGCUGGCUUACAGAUUCAGAGGUUCAGUCCAUCAUCAUCAAGGUGAGAGCAGGGCAGCAUCUAGGCAGGCAUGGCACAGGAGGAGCUGAGAGUUCUACAUCUUCAUCUGAAGGCUGCUAGGAGAAGACUGGCUUCCCACAUGGUUAGGAGGAGGGUCUCAAAGCCCACUCAGACAGUGAUACGCUUCCUCCAACAAGGGCACACCUCCUAAUAGUGUCACUUCCUGGGCCAAGUGUUUUCAAACCACCAUACUAAGGAAACAAAAGAUGUCUGCAACAAAGACUUUAAAGUGCUCAAUGAAGACCUGGAGAGAUGGCUCGAUGGUUAAGAGCACUUGUUCCUCUUUGCAGAGGACUGAGCUCAGGCCUCAGCAUCUACAUGGUACUCACAACUAUCUGUAACUACAGUUUUAGGAGACCCAGAGGCUUCCUCUGACCGUCAAAGGAGACAGGUGCUCACACAGUACACAUACAUACAUACAUACAUACAUACAUACAUACAUACAUACAUAGGCAAAAAUUCACACACACAAAAUAAUGACAGAAAACACAGCCGUUAUGGGAGUAACCAACUGAGUGAUAAAGUGGGAUACAAGGCCCACUUCGUAGGAGGGAGCUCACGCCCUAAUGGAGGUCUGGUCAAAGACCCAUGGCUAGGGGAGACAUUGGUUCUGGGGGUGAGCCUACUGUGUUUAUUUUGCUAAGUGGACAUAUUGCCAAAUUGCAUCUUAAAUAUUUAUGUUUGCUCUGUGGACUAGUAGCAUCCUUAAGGUUUGUUCAAAGAAUUUUGUCUUCACAGGGAACCAUGUUUAACACAAACUCAUGAUUGGUGACAAUGUGAGAACCAGUUACAAUGCAUGCUCAACCUUUCACAAAACAGCCCUAUUAUCUCCUGCACAGCUUGGAGAACAUUGGGGAAGAGGCAGGAGAAAGAAUUGAAGAUCUGACUGGUAGAGAGAAGGGACAAAAGGUGCUGUCAUGUGGGCAUGAUAUGACUGCCACACCCACAAACUCAUAAUGGCUACAGUUGUCUGCACAAGCCGGAGCCCCAAAACAUCCAAUCAUAGAUGGGGGAGAGUUUCAUAGGAUCCCCCAAUCCAGGGAGUAUGGCAGUGGAAGGCUGCAGGGGUGGGGAAGAGGAAAUCACUGUCUUCAGUGAUGUAGCUUUUUCUGAGUUAUCCAUAAUGCAGUGGACUCUCCACACUCAAGCCCAUGCUAAUGGCACUCAUUAGAGCUGGUGGAUCACGAUGCAGAAACAAGAGGGAUGGAGCUUGGAACAGGAGGAAGGUAAGAAAGAGCGAAGGAAUGAUGGUGAACAGAAUGUAUUAUACAUAUGUAUCAACUUGUCAAAGAAUAAAUUAAUAAAAUAAAUAAGAGAGCAAUUGAAAAAGGCACCCACACAGACCUCAGAGCUCUACACACCUGAGUGUAUGCUGAGCAUGUAUGUACAUGCACACACGUGUGUGCACCUCACACCACACAGACCUCAGAGCUCUAUGCUUUAGUGCAUACUGAGCACAUAUGUACAUGCACACACAUGUGUGCACCUCAUACCACACAGACCUUUGAACUCUACAUCUGAUCACAUGCUGAGCAUAUAUACAGAUGCAUACACAUGUGUACACCUCACAUCACACAGACCUCAGAGCUCUACACACCUGAGUGCAUGCUAAGCGUAUAUGCACAUGCACACACACGUGUGCACCUCAUACCACACAGACCUCAAAGCUCUACACAACUGAGUGCAUGCUGAGCAUGUAUGUACAUGCAGACACAUGUGUACACCACACACACACACACACACACACACACGCACACACACACACACGUCGAGGAGGUGAGUAUACUUCAGUUUAGUUAAGUAGAAAUCUGACUUCGACUAUUCUUCCUGUAAGUCGGUGGUUCUCAAGCUUCGUGGCACUGCAACACUUUAAUGGAGUCCAUGUUGUGGUAACCCACAACCAUAAAAUUAUCCUAGUUGCUACUUCAUAACUGUAGUUUUGUUACUGUUAUGAACCGUGGUGUAAAUAUUUUUGGAGAUAAGAGAUUCGCCAAAACGGUUGCCACUCACAGGUUGAGAACCACUGCUAUAACUCAAUAUUAACUCUUACCUGACAAGACAGACAUCAUGAUGUUUAUCAAAGAUUCUAAUGGAGUUUGGGUUGGUAGAGAAAAUCUUUGCGUUAGUAAAAUUUCAUACUAAUCAAUUACUUUAACACUAUGAAAUAUUUUGCAACUCACGUCUGCCUAAAGCAGGACUCUAAAAUACGAAGAUGACGUGUAAUUCCUCAGUCGCACCACUGGGUGGAGCCAUUUCCACAGCAAAGAUACAACGAAGCGAGAGAGAGAUCAAAGUUGGGGAGGUGGCCUUCGACGACAAUGACGACGACGACGACGACAUAGCACACAUGUUUACAGAAAGAAGAUGAAGCAAGGGCAUGCCUGGCGCCAACAGAGGUCCAAGGAGGUCGUCGGAUUUGCUGCAUUUGGAGUUACCAGAUAAUGGGCUGUCACAGUUUCAGGCAUCGCCCACAGCUUUGCCCAUGGGUGGUCGGAUGUGAACUCAGGUCCUCAUGCUUGGGAAGCAAGCUCUUCACUGACUGAGCUGUCUCUCCACUCCCCUGUAGCUUGCACUGUUGUCAUCCUGCCUCAGUCCCUGUUCUCCACAGUGGAUUCACCACGAACGAAAUAGUCCACUGUAGCGGAAGUCACCUCAGUGGCUGACUGGUGGGAUGCGAGUCCAGGGUGGCGUCCAGAGGGAUUCACAAGGACUAUGGUGCUCAGAGCAAGAAUGUUUUCUGCUGUCUUUGGAACUUUGUCUGCAAACAGCUCAAAGGAGAUGAAGCCCAAGGACUCACCAUUGGCCUUGAUGUGGAAGAACACGGUGGCCAUGUCUGCAGCAAGCGACGAAAAGUGAUAGCAGCAUCUGUCUAGUUGUAAUUCUACAACUAAUGCCCUGUACACUUUGAAUUUCCAAGACUGCUCAGCACAGCAGCAUGGAUGGUGGGUCCGUUGGUCCAUUGGAAGAAUGCUGCUGUACCUGUCAAUCUGUAUGUCCUCAUACUCCUCAGGGUGUAGAUUUCUCUCCAUCCUUCUCCUAGACACCCAUGUUUUCUCUGUAAUUACAAGGGUAGACCAAGAUUUGCCAGGGUGCCUUCAUGGAUUCCUGCCCCCACCAAAUGAAGGCACUAGAGAAAAAUGAACAGUCAAGAAUAUUGGCUGCUCUUCCAGAGGACUGGGGUUUGGUUUCCAGCACCCACGUGACAGCUCACAAUCAUCUGUAACUUCAGUUUAAGAGGACCUAACACCCUCUUCUGGCCUAGCAGACCUUGCUCACAUGUGACACACAAUUAGUCAUGCAGGUAUACAGUCAUGCACAUAAAACAUAAAAAAAUAAAUGAAUAAAAAU